GACGAACGCUGGCGGCGUGCCUAAUACAUGCAAGUCGAACGCAGUUGGGACGGGUGAGUAACACGUGGGUAACCUCCCAUCAGAGGGGAUAACACUUGGAAACAGGUGCUAAACCGAUACUGAUGGAUGAACCCGCGGUGCAUGAGCUAGUUGGUGAGGUAACGGCUCACAAGGGCAACGAUGCGUAGCCGACCUGAGAGGGUGAUCGGGCACACUGGUACUGAGACACGGCCCAGACGCCGACGGGAGGCAGCAGUAGGGAAUCUGCGGCAAUUGGCGAAAGUCGGACCGAGCAACGCCGCGGGAGUGAAGAAGGUGGUCGGAUCGUAAGACUCUGAUGUUAGAGAAGCGGUAUCUAACCAGAAAGCCACGGCUAACUACGUGCCAGCAGCCGCGGUAAUUC
rnacentral:rRNA from 1 species